rnacentral:rRNA from 1 species
UACGGAAGGGGCAAGCGUUGUUCGGAAUCAUUGGGCGUAAAGGGCGUGUAGGUGGUCCUGUAUGUCUACCGUGAAAGCGCACGGCUCAACCGUAUUUAGUCGGUAGAAACUGCAGGACUUGAGGCUGGGAGGGGCUGGUGGAAUUCCCUGUGUAGCGGUGAAAUGCGUAGAGAUGGGGGAGAACACUCGUGGCGAAGGCGGCCAGCUAGACCAGUUCUGACACUGAGGCGCGACAGCGUGGGGAGCAAACAGG